UAUAGACAAAAAAAUCUAAUACACAACAUUUGCAUGAAACCACAUUUAAUUUUCUCGGAAUUAGUUUUCUAGAACUUUAAAGAAACAACAGGUGUGCUUUUAAAACACGUUGUGCGCCACACAAAUGACACACCAAAUUUUGAAAAUUGUAUUUUUUUCAGAUCAUUUAUCAAAAAAUUGUACGGUAUACCAGAAGGUUCGUCUUCUAUUAGACGUAUUAUGUAAACG